UAUAAAUGGGGCGUGGCCAAGUGGUAAGGCAACGGGUUUUGGUCCCGAUAUUCGGAGGUUCGAAUCCUUCCGUCCCAG
rnacentral:tRNA from 1 species